UACGUAGGGGGCUAGCGUUGUCCGGAAUCAUUGGGCGUAAAGAGCGUGUAGGCGGCCCGGUAAGUCCGCUGUGAAAGUCGGGGGCUCAACCCUCGAAUGCCGGUGGAUACUGUCGGGCUAGAGUGCGGAAGAGGCGAGUGGAAUUCCUGGUGUAGCGGUGAAAUGCGCAGAUAUCAUUAGGAACUCCGGUGGCGAAGGCGGCUCGCUGGACCUUUUCUGACGCUGAUGCGCGAAAGCUAGGGGAGCAAACAGG
rnacentral:rRNA from 1 species